CUAGCUUCAGCGAUGGAUCGGUCGGUUCGCGUAUCGAUGAGAAACGCAGCUAGCUGUGUUAUUUACCACGAAUUGCAGACGCUUAGAGUGGUGAAGUUUUGAACGCAUAGCGUCGUUGGGUUUUCCCUACGGCACAUCUGGUUCAGGGUUG
rnacentral:rRNA from 1 species